AUGCUGUUUUCAUACCCAAAAUUCAGAAUAGUAAACACUAAACAGAGAAAUCAAUAAAAUUAAUGUGAGCAAUGCAUAAAUAUAAAAGGAAUUAUCGUUAAUUAACCAAAGUUUUGAAGCAAAUUAGUAAAGUGCCACGAGAAACAGUUGUGUGUAUUCUUGGCGCAUCAUACACAUAAAACAGUUUUUCCUAUCAUUGCUUUUGCAUAUAGCGUUACACGUAACCUUCUCAUUACAAUGGCAACUCUCCACAUCUAAACUCAAUUCCUAAAAUUCACAAAAGUCUCACAAAUUUCCUAAAUAUAUCUAUUUCUUGUGGAAUUUAAUUUCUUCCACAAAUUUUCCAAAAUUAACCCUCAUAUUAAUGGAAAACUACCUAACAUACACUUCUGAUCGAAGACGCGCGUUUUCGAUACAUUUCAAUGUUUGACAUGAAAAUGAUGCCAACAUAUCAGUAUCAUGUUUAGUUUUUGUGUCGGUGUUUCAUAUAUCUCAAAAAAACAAAAAAAAUAUAAAAAAAUAGGACUAGCAAACCUUCCAUAUAUCUCCACCCAUGUUUUAGGUGAAAAUAUGUCACACAAACACUUUCGAUUGAAGGUGUGUCCGAUACAUUUCAAUCAACUACUAAUCCAAGACAGUAAUAUACUACCAAAAAUACUUUAUUGUCCCUCUAAACCUUACUUUUUGUGUUUUUGUUGUUGCUUUACAAUUUUUUUUUAUGGGGAUAUUUUUGUCAUAUUUGGCACAUAAACUUCACAAUGCUCCUCAUAGCUUUUUUGCAACUCUCCCCAAAUUACCCUUUUCCGUUUUUUUGCCUUAUAACCCCACAAAAUUGGAGUUCUCUACCACUCAAAAGUUGCAUGAUAAAUUUCAAAAAACAAGGUUAUAUCUGGUAUUUCAUAAUCUAUUUACACACUGUCCAAUGUUAGCAGAUUUCAAUUUCAAAUUUCAUAUUCUCCCUCUUUUUCUCCCUUUAUAAUCAAUUUUGUGUUUUCUCUCUCUCAAUAUACUCAUAUUCAUGUUCUAUCUUCUCUUUCAUUUUUUCUUUUCUUCUGCAUAUUUUUGUUCUUCUCAUGUUCAAUAUACUCAUAAUGUUUGUUCUUCUCAUUUUGCAGACAAAGAAGAAUAAAAGAAAAUGAAAUCUUCACAAAGGAUACAUAAAGAUACAAACAAAAAUGAGAAGAAAACAAGACACAGAGAAGUGGUGAGAAGAAAUCAUGACUAAAAGAAAGAGAUGAAAUAACUGGAAUACAAACUCAGCAGGGCGGCGGUGCGAUUUCAGGCACGGUGGAUGCAAAUUCCGGUGCGGUGGUUGCCGGAAAAAGGUGGACCGAUUCUAAUUUUUUUGGUUGGGUUUUGUAAAGGAACAAGAGAGGAGUUUAGUGGUUGUUGUGUCAUGUUCAAAGGUGGACAGUGGACUAUAAAAAUAACAAUUUUCAUAGACGGUUUUGUAGAGAAAGAGAAGAGUAUUCAUAUGGUGAUGAUUUUUAUAAAAAUAGACUAUGGUAAUCAAGAUCUAGCAACAAAGUGACGGUUGAAUGUAUGAUAGAAAGGGAGAAGAAAUUGAACACAUUGGUGUCAAGAUCUUGAAAUAAAAAGGUCUAUAAAGAGCUUACAAUUACAUGAUCAAUGUUACAAAUCCGACCCAUAAAUGUUACAGAUCCGGCGGCUAGGGUUUGAGUUGUGGAUGAAAAGCUUAGAAAGUAAAAAAUGGGUGGUGGUGGUGUGGUUUACUGAUUUACAGAGAUGAGAGACAAAGAUUUGACAAGAAAAUAAUAAUAAUAAGAGAAAGAAAUGAUUUCAAUGUAAU